UACGGGGGGCAAGCGUUGUUCGGAAUUACUGGGCGUAAAGGGCUCGUAGGCGGCCAACUAAGUCGGAUGUGAAAUCCCCAGGCUUAACCUGGAACUGCAUCCGAUACUGGAUGGCUUGAAUUCGGAGAGGAUGCAGAAUUCCAGGUGUAGCGGUGAAAUGCGUAGAUAUCUGGAGGAACACCGGUGGCGAAGGCGGCAUCUGGACCGACACUGACGCUGAUGCGCGAAAGCUAGGGGAGCGAA
rnacentral:rRNA from 1 species